CUACGGGUGGCUGCAGUGAGGAAUUUUGCGCAAUGGGCGAAAGCCUGACGCAGCAACGCCGCGUGAGUGAUGAAGGCCUUCGGGUCGUAAAGCUCUGUCAAGUGGGAAGAACCUAUGUAAUGUUAAUAUCAUUAUAUACUGACGGUACCACUGAAGGAAGCACCGGCUAACUCCGUGCCAGCAGCCGCGGUAAUACGGGGGGUGCAAGCGUUAUUCGGAAUCAUUGGGCGUAAAGGGCACGUAGGCGGCCUGGUAAGUCAGACGUGAAAGCCCGGGGCUUAACCCCGGAAGUGCAUUUGAUACUGUCAGGCUUGAGUAUGGGAGAGGGAAGUGGAAUUCCUGGUGUAGAGGUGAAAUUCGUAGAUAUCAGGAGGAACACCGGUGGCGAAGGCGACUUCCUGGACCAAUACUGACGCUGAGGUGCGAAGGCGUGGGUAGCAAACAGGAUUAGAUACCCCUGUAGUC
rnacentral:rRNA from 1 species